AUCGCGGGAAAAAGAUCUUGGGAAGCCAGUAGACACUCCAGUUAUAGGAAGCCAGUGGACAAUCAAGUAGUACGUACGUGCAUUUGCCACAUGUUAGUCAUUUUAUUUUGCCAUUGUGCCCUGUCGAAGUAAAAGGUUGUAUGGCCGAGUAUAUAUUAGUAUUUUGCAUUAGUCAUUUUAUGUAAUGGGCUUGAGGAUUAUUUGUGGAUUCGAAGCUUAUGCAGGUGUUUACAAGAUCCUUCCCAAGGGUGCUACAAAUACCCAUCACUACAUAAUGACAGAUUUUGAUUGAGCUCUGCUAUAAAAUAGAAGCUGUCGACAAUAAUCAAGUUAAUUAUAAAAAAUAAGUUAACUCUGGAAUGAGAAUCCUGUAUUAUCUUACUGCUGCAGUAGACUUCUUUGCUUCAUUAACUAUCGGAUGGCAACCUAUAAGAGAAAUAUCUGCUGAGGGAUCAAAAAGACUUCUAUGGAAACUGAAUUUAUUAAACUGAAUACGCGU